rnacentral:lncRNA from 1 species
AUUCAAUCUACCAGAGGCAAGGCAAUUCCACCAAAACAAUCUAAGUGCCAUUUCAGAUUUGAAAAUCUCUUGUUACUCUACAGGACUUAAAAUAUUUUGGACCGAUACACUAUAGUUCAGUUUUCAUUUUUGAGUAAUAUCCCAACUAGAGUAUAAUUGACAUGCUGAGUCCAUCGACCAGUAGAGUUCAACCCUAUAUCUGUUGGCAGCCCAAUCAAUUACAGAAG